rnacentral:lncRNA from 10 species
UUCCCAUUUUGUAAAUGCCAGAUGGCAAACCAGUUUCCUUUCUUCCUCCGCCCUGCAAAAUUGGCUGAUUCCAAAGCACAGCGUCUUUAAAUGCACAAACAUUAUUAUUAAACAGCUACAAUGGGUCAGUCCUGUGCUUGUCACUAAUCAGGGACAAAUGAAUAGACAUUGAAUAAAAGGUUGCUGCCACAUGAAAGUUCUAAAGCAAGACAUUUAAGCUGACUGUCUGGAGUCUCCUGGCUCCUGAGGUCCCCCUGACUCUUGUCCACUAUCCUAUGUGGCCAUGAUUAGCUCUCCUGGGAUAGUAGCCUGUUCCAGGUUCUGGGCUGGUAGGGAUCAAACACAUUUGAUCUAAAUCUUAUGAGCACUCUGCUCUGACCAAGUGCUCCAAUGAAAAAG